rnacentral:rRNA from 1 species
UAGGGAAUCUUCCACAAUGGACGAAAGUCUGAUGGAGCAACGCCGCGUGAGUGAAGAAGGGUUUCGGCUCGUAAACUCUGUUGUUAAAGAAGAACAUAUCUGAGAGUAACUGUUCAGGUAUUGACGGUAUUUAACCAGAAAGCCACGGCUAACUACGUGCCAG